AUUGAACGCUGGCGGCAGGCUUAACACAUGCAAGUCGAACGAGUGGCGGACGGGUGAGUAAUGCUUGGGAAUCUAGCUUAUGGAGGGGGAUAACUACGGGAAACUGUAGCUAAUACCGCGUACCAUAGGAUGAGCCCAAAGGGGAUUAGCUAGUAGGUGGGGUAAUGGCUCACCUAGGCGACGAUACCUAGCUGGUCUGAGAGGAUGACCAGCCACACUGGAACUGAGACACGGUCCGGACUCCUACGGGAGGCAGCAGUUGGGAAUAUUGCACAAUGGGCGCAAGCUGAGCCAGCCAUGCCGAGUGUGUGAAGAAGGCCUUCGGGUUGUAAAGUUCUUUCGGUAGCGAGGCGUUAACUACAGAAGAAGCACCGGCUAACUCCGUGCCAGCAGCCGCGGUAAUAC
rnacentral:rRNA from 1 species